GGGGAUGUAGCUCAUCUGGUAGAGCGCGUGCUUAGCAUUACCCCAUCCCAUACUCGGCGACGAGGGGGAUGUAUGUAAAAUGUUCAUGCACGAGGUACUGGGUUCGACUCCCAGCUUCUCCA